CCUACGGGUGGCAGCAGUGAGGAAUAUUGGUCAAUGGGCGCAAGCCUGAACCAGCCAAGUCGCGUGCAGGAUGACGGCCCUAUGGGUUGUAAACCUCUUUUAUCCGGGAACAACGCGCCUUACGUGUAGCGCUUUGAGAGUACCCGAAGAAUAAGCAUCGGCUAACUCCGUGCCAGCAGCCGCGGUAAUACGGAAGGUGCGGGCGUUAUCCGGAUUUAUUGGGUUUAAAGGGUGCGUAGGCGGGAGGUCAAGUGUGCGGUGAAAUGUCCGGGCUCAACCCGAGCCUUGCAGGGGAAACGGGCGUGCUUGAGUGCGCGGGAAGCAGGCGGAAUGCGUGGUGUAGCGGUGAAAUGCAUAGAUAUGACGAAGAACCCCGAUUGCGAAGGCAGCUUGCUGCAGCGGAACUGACGCUGAUGCUCGAAAGCGCGGGUAUCGAACAGGAUUAGAUACCCUGGUAGUC
rnacentral:rRNA from 1 species